rnacentral:rRNA from 1 species
UUGGUCAAUGGCCUACGGGGCUGAACGUGGCAAUUUGGUGUAAACGAAACAGAAUUGUAACUUACUACAAUAAAGUUUUAAGUACGUAUUAAUAAUGAUAAUAUGUAUAAAAGUCUUGGCCAAUUACGUGCCAGCAGUCGCGGGAAUACGUAGGAGACGAGCGUUAUUCAUAUUAAAUAGGUUUAAAGGGUUCCCCCACGGUCAAAAGACCUGAAAUAUAGGAGUACUUGACCAGAGUUAUAUGUAAGAAGACCGUUCUUGAGGUGGAGAGAUUAUAUUUUAAGAUACCAAAAGGACUGAUAACGGCGAAGGCUGUCUUUUAUUUAAUAACUGACGUUGAAGGAGGAAGGCAUAGAUAACUUACAGGAUUCGUUACCCUAGUAGUCUUUGCAGACAAUGAUGAAUGCCAUUGACUAGAUACUAAUUUUAGUUACAUAAAUGCAAAUGAAAGCAUGACACCUCAAGAGUAAUGUGUCAGCGCAGAACUGAAAUCACUAGACCGUUUCUGACACCAGUAGUGAAGUAUGUUA